rnacentral:rRNA from 1 species
GGCGUGCCUUACACAUGCAAGNNNNNNGCGGUAACAGCAGAAGCUNGCUCUGGCUGACGAGUGGCGCACGGGUGAGUAAUAGAUAGAUAAUGUACCCCUUAGUCUGGGAUAGCCACUGGAAACGGUGAUUAAUACUGGAUACGCCUUUUUAGCGUAAGCUAAUUUGGGAAAGGUCUUUCGCUAAGGGAUCAGUCUAUCUCCCAUCAGUUAGUUGGUGAGGUAAGAGCUCACCAAGACGAUGACGGGNAGCGGGUUUGAGAGGAUGAUCCGCCACACUGGAACUGAGACACGGUCCAGACUCCUACGGGAGGCAGCAGUGAGGAAUAUUGCACAANGGGGGAAACCCUGAUGCAGCAACGCCGCGUGGAGGAUGACGCAUUUCGGNGUGUAAACUCCUUUUAUCAGAGAAGAACAUGACGGGNAUCUGAUGAAUAAGCUCCGGCUAACUCCGUGCCAGCAGCCGCGGUAAUACGGAGGGAGCAAGCGUUAUUCGGAAUCACUGGGCGUAAAGGACGCGUAGGCGGGUUAGUNAGUCAGGUGUGAAAUCCUACAGCUCAACUGUAGAACUGCAC